rnacentral:rRNA from 2 species
GACGAACGCUGGCGGUGUGCUUAACACAUGCAAGUCGAACGGUAAGGCCCUUUCGGGGGUACACGAGUGGCGAACGGGUGAGUAACACGUGAGUAACCUGCCCUCAUCUCUGGGAUAACAGUCGGAAACGGUUGCUAAUACUGGAUAUGAGCUUGCAAGGCAUCUUGUGGGUUGGAAAGAUUUUUUGGUUGGGGAUGGACUCGCGGCCUAUCAGCUUGUUGGUGAGGUAGUGGCUCACCAAGGCUUCGACGGGUAGCCGGCCUGAGAGGGCGACCGGCCACAUUGGGACUGAGAUACGGCCCAAACUCCUACGGGAGGCAGCAGUGGGGAAUAUUGCACAAUGGACGGAAGUCUGAUGCAGCAACGCCGCGUGCGGGAUGACGGCCUUCGGGUUGUAAACCGCUUUCAAUUGUGACGAAGCUUUUUGUGACGGUAGCAUAGAGAG